ensembl:misc_RNA Metazoa_SRP Metazoan signal recognition particle RNA
GCCGGGCGUGGUGGUGCACACCUGUAAUCCCAGCUACUCGGGAGGCUGAGGCAGGAGAAUUGCUUGAACCCGGGGGGCGGGGGUUGCAGUGAGCUGAGAUUGCACCACUGCACUGCAGCCUGGGUGACAGAGUGAGAAUCUGUCUCAA